GCCCGUUUAGUGUAAUGGAAAACAUGCCCUGCGAGUGUUGAACCGGCAACAUACCACCGUACUAUGCGUGGGAGGAUAAGCCCGAUGGAAUCUUCAGGGAGCUCUUGGUUCGAUUCCAAGGACGGGUA